ACGAACGCUGGCGGCGUGCUUAACACAUGCAAGUCGAACGGAAAGGCCCUGCUUUUGUGGGGUGCUCGAGUGGCGAACGGGUGAGUAACACGUGAGUAACCUGCCCUUGACUUUGGGAUAACUUCAGGAAACUGGGGCUAAUACCGGAUAGGAGCUCCUGCUGCAUGGUGGGGGUUGGAAAGUUUCGGCGGGUGGGGAUGGACUCGCGGCUUAUCAGCUUGUUGGUGGGGUAGUGGCUUACCAAGGCUUUGACGGGUAGCCGGCCUGAGAGGGUGACCGGCCACAUUGGGACUGGGAUACCGCCCCGGCUCCUACGGGAGGCAGCAGUGGGGAAUAUUGCACAAUGGGCGGAAGCCUGAUGCAGCAACGCCGCGUGCGGGAUGACGGCCUUCGGGUUUUAAACCGCUUUCGCCUGUGACGAAGCGUGAGUGACGGUAAUGGGUAAAGAAGCACCGGCUAACUACGUG
rnacentral:rRNA from 1 species